GGAGGAUGCAGGAGCAGGAGCCGGGAGGGGAGGGAGCAGCUGGCACCGCGCACGUGGGUACCUGUGGCUCGCCCCUCCUCAGCUGCCGCCCGGGGAAAACGCUCUCCAGUGCACUCACCAUUUAUCCGAGGGCUCCAGAGCUGCCUGCGAUGGAUUAAUACAGAAUCACACACAGGAAACUUCACUGGCUGCAACAAAAAUGUUCCAGCUUCUUGACACUCCCAGCAACAACAAACCAUCAGUUUGAAUGAUGCCACAACAACAGGGCCAACACAGAGAC